rnacentral:rRNA from 1 species
GAUCAUGGCUCAGGACGAACGCUGGCGGCGCGCCUAACACAUGCAAGUCGAACGGAGCGUUGAGAGCUUGCUUUUAAUGCUUAGUGGCGAACGGGUGAGUAACGCGUGAGUAACCUGCCCUGGAGUGGGGGACAACAGUUGGAAACGACUGCUAAUACCGCAUAAGCCCACGAUCCGGCAUCGGAUUGAGGGAAAAGGAUUUAUUCGCUUCGGGAUGGACUCGCGUCCAAUUAGCUAGUUGGUG